GUAUACUACAUCAUUUUGAGUAAUUUCAGUGGUUUUGUGUGGACGCAGAUAUUUUUUGAGAUCAGGAAAAAAAAAAAGAUCGGUUAGGGUAAGCUCCGAGGAGGUGAGUUGGCUGUGUACAGAGCCUCAUUUCGGGCUGAUUAGAUCUGAACUGAACUGAACCAUCUGAACAUGCUUCUCCCAAACUUUGUUUAUAAAACAUAAUUUGUCGCUUGAAUUCUGCAAUCUCUCGAGAUGCAGACAUGCAAGAGGCUGACAAUUAGCUGAACAUAUACUUUAAUCAGUGACACUUAGCCUACAUUUUAAAAUCUUUAUUUGAAUAUGUCAACAUGAUACCUUGUUCUACAAUAUUUAUAUGAUUAAAUCACUGACAGAGACCCAUCCGCUAUCAGCUAAUCACCGUGGGCACAGUUAGUAAGCGUAUUGACAUCAUCCAUAGCAACAAGGUCAACCCCCCCCUUUCUCUUAGCUUAAGAUUUCUCUCUGUUCCUUAGUACAAGUUGGUCUCAGCAGCUUUGUGAAUACGUUUUCAGAGGAAACUCUUACUGCUAAUUAGGAGAACUCUUAGUGGUAGGAUAAAAUGUUUUGUGAAUACGGCCCCUGGUCUGAAGACAGCAAUAUGGUGAGAAUAACACAGGUUUAUUUUGCAGCAUUGCCAAAAUGGGACAGGCAGGUAAGCAAACUUUAUAUAGCAGAAGAGAAUGAGAAAAGAAUGAUAAUCAGAGUCUUUACUGUGUUACAGGUGGUGUUGGAGCUCAUUGAUUCGAGACAGGUGACAGUGGAGAGCACACACUUCUGUGGGAGAUCCAAGGAGGUGAGGAAGAGGGAUAGCUGGAGUAAUGGAGACUCAAUGAGCAGGUAGGAAAUCGUAGGAGAAUCACAAAAAGUCAGAGUUUAGGUAAGUAGUCCGUAGUCCUUGUCGUAGACCAAACAAUGAUGGAAUGAGAAGUGCUCUUAUAGUGCUCUAAAUCAGUGUUUCCCAGUGUUUCUGUCGCUUUUGCAUAGUUUGCGCUUGCUGUUUAAUAAUCAUUUGAAACAUAGCAAAUUGGCAGCUCCAGUAGUAAUGAAAAAAAUUAUCUUGAGCUCUGUCAUGUAAAGUAUGUAUAAACCUUAAUUAAACAAUUUAAUAAUUAAGUAAAAAUGAAUUUAUACCUGUAUGAUAUUACGGUGUAACAACAUUGGGAAGUGGAUGGAUGGAUGAUUCAGGCACAUGCAUCAUCCUCUGGUCAUUCGGUGCGCGGCGUGACUCUCACAGUGCAUUAUGGGUAUUCUCUAGCCAUUGAGUGUACAUCGGUUGUACACUCGUUAUUGCGGUGCAUUUUGGGAUUGAAUGAGUGCACUCGGUAACAUCCACUACGAUUUCGGAAACCACUACAAAUGGCUGUCCCCUCAAAUUGUGCCCUAUUUAAGGGUAUAGGGGGCGAUUUUGGACACAACCAAAGACAUCCAAAUUGUGCACUGUUGGUGUGCCUCCAGGAAUAGAGGUUUGGAAACACUGAUCCAGAUGUGUGUGCUGACUAAGGACAUGGGACUAAGGACUAAUGCUCAGUACUCAGGUUCUGAGCAGACUUUGCUGUAGAAAAAACUGUCUGCAGAUCUGUGGGGUAUUGUCACAGACUGUUUAAGUCGGAUUCGGAAGUGUCAGUCACAGCGGUAAUUACUGCCCCCUUACAAUGAGACGAACACCCCGCUGAAAGGUCAGUUACACAUGGUCAUUCAACUGAAUUUAUGUGAACUCGCUUGUAAAGCAAUACUGGUUUGUGUGUACACAAUGAUUUUUUUCACUAUGCAUAAAUAGAAAAAUUUAUAUCCACCAUAUAAAUAUCCAUGAAUUACCAGGCCUGGAAGACACAAUUUCCAGUUUUUGAUCAGGCUUGGGUUUGAAAUUUAAAAAGGUUUCAAAAACAAACCCGAUUCCAAAAAAGUUGGGACACUGUACAAAUUGUGAAUAAAAACAGAAUGCAAUGAUGUGGAAGUUUCAAAUUUCAAUAUU